rnacentral:rRNA from 1 species
ACGAGCGCAACCCUUGUCCUAUGUUGCCAGCGCGUAAUGGCGGGGACUCGUGGGAGACUGCCGGCGACAAGUCGGAGGAAGGUGGGGACGACGUCAAGUCAUCAUGCCCCUUAUGCCCAGGGCUGCAAACAUGCUACAAUGGCCGGUACAAAGGGCUGCGAAACCGUGAGGUCAAGCGAAUCCCAUAAAGCCGGUCUCAGUUCGGAUUGGAGUCUGCAACUCGACUCCAUGAAGCCGGAGUCGCUAGUAAUCCCGGAUCAGCAACGCCGGGGUGAAUACUUUCCCGGGCCUUGCACACACCCCCCGU